AAGGGACACGGGCAACUUGUUGGUGUGACUGAAAUGUUCUUUAACUUGAUUGUUGGGGUGAUUACACAGGUAAACACAUUUUUCAAAACUCAAACUGUACAAUUUAAGUGGGUACAAUAAAUUUUAUUUCAAAAGUCAAAACAUUUUUUAAAUCACUAGUUACAAGCGUAUACAGAGUGAGAACUCAUUCUAAAUAAACUCGAUGUAUUCAUAAGACAUAUAGCCAUGUGCUAUCUCCAGGAACAAGGAGAUCCUGCAAGUUUUAGAUGAGUACUUUAAACUCCAUAUCAAUAUUCCAACAAAAAAGAAAUGACACACUCACAUUAGGUAAUUUGAGGAGAAUUUAGUCAAGGAUUUUAUUUUUUAUUAAAUAAAAGAAUUUAUUUAAAAGACAUGGGCAGAGUAUAAGAAAACCAUAAGAGAAAGUGCAGUAAACCAGAGGGUUAUCAGUUAAGACCAAAGAGACAGCAAGGGAGUGGGUAUCAGGACAUAGAACAGAGUCCCCACGGAGAGGUUUGCCUUAAUAGAACCUUCAGGAGGGAGGUCCCCAGCUAGAAACAACCUGCAGGGAGAGGGUGGGGGGAAUAAAUGUCAGGCUCAGCCUCCUCCUUCCCUCCCAUCUCCUGCUAGGGCUUCCCUUUGCUGAACACACCUGGAAGCCAGGAAGAAGGGUGUUCACUAAUGUCGUUUGUACAGAUCAGCCUCUUGGGUACAAAGCAGAGUGGAGAGGACUGAAGCGUGGAUGUGGAGAGGCAGGUGGAAUAUAUGUAGCACAAUUUCCAACUCCCCCAAUCCUUCUCACUGCCUCCAAAUUUUUAUUUGGUAGGUCAACAGUGGGUCCAGGAAUCUGAGUUUUUAAAAGCUAUUCAGGUGAUCCUGAUGACCAGCAAGCGCUUGGAUCACUGUACAAAACUACCUCUUCCCGUUAAUCGUCGACACAUAAAAUUUCUAAUACGGAUGAACAGACACAAAUUUCAUGGGAUUCUACCCAUAAUUACACAGUUUUUCUUUUUUAAGAUUUUAUUUUUUCCUUUUUCUCCCCAAAGCCCCCCAGUACAUAGUCGUAUAUUCUUUGCUGUGGGUCCUUCUAGUUGUGGCACGUGGGACGCCGCCCCAGCGUGGUUCGAUGAGCAGCGCCAUGUCCGCGCCCAGGAUCCGAACCAACGAAACACUGGGCCGCCUGCAGCGGAGCGCGCGAACUCAACCACUCGGCCACGGGGCCAACCCCCAUAAUUACACAGUUUUUAACAUUUAUUUGUAGGUUCCAUUCACCUAAGAAUGUAAAAGAGGCAUUGAAUAUUUAUUAUGCAUGCUUUCUGAGAGUCUGAGGGAGUCAACACCACCGGCAAAAGGCACUUCAGUGACGAUUAGAAAAUGAAAAUAUUGCAAUCGGGACACCUGGAAAGGUAGAAUUAGGCUCCUUCCUCUCUGAAAACUAAGGAGCUACUACUCAGGUCUUUACCCUUGAAGCUUCCUGGAGAACAGCCCCAAAGAUCAUAAGAAAUGUGAGAAAUCAACAACAUCAAGCUACUCAACUGUUCAAGAGAUAAGAUGAUAGAGUCAUCAGAUAGUCACGAGCAGGGACAUCUUCCUAUAAAGGCAGCAGAUGUUGGGUCUAAGGUAUCAGUGUUGCUCAGAGUCAUCCUUUAUCUUCUUCUGCAGCAGGGAGAAGGGGUCUAGGAAUAACUAAGGGGGUCAUUUCAUUUUCCAGAGUUGUUCCACUGCUCCCUUCUUCAUUCUGAGCCU
ensembl:lncRNA